rnacentral:lncRNA from 1 species
UCUUGCUAGAUAAGAACAGAUCAAUGCUUUAGACUUUGUUUCAUAUCAAUGCAUUAAAAUCUAACUUUAGAAAAUCUUUAAAUAUUUUUUCCUGACUAUAGUAAAUUACAGCCAACUUAAUCAUACACAAACAUUUGGAGAUUUAUGUUCCACAAACCUUCUGCAACUUACUUAGACAUUCAACUACUUGUUUACAUUCUUAGUUUUGUCUUCUCUAUUAUCUUGGACUUCAGCACAAAAACAAAGCUUUAUCAUGCAAAAUACCUUAUCCAGAAACAUACAUUUUCAUAACCAUAACUUUUUAUAUUUCCCUUCUUUCAGUUGUUGACUCUUAAAUUUACAUUCUGGAAUUAGACAAACUUAUAUGAAAUUUAUGAAUUUAGACAAAUUACUCCUUUUUAAAAAAUAUUUUUUAGUGUUGAUGUACCUUUAUUUUAUUCAUUUAUUUAUAUGCGGUGCUGAGAAUUGAACCCAGUGGUUCACACAUGUGAGGCAAGCACUCUACCAUUGAGCCACAACCCCAGCCCCCCAAAUUACUCCUGUUUAAUAAGAUGAACUACUUUACUGUUUUUAUAGUACUUUAACCAAAACACAGUUGAAACAUUUUUUAUUCCUUGCAUAUAGAGUUACAUGUAUUAGAAUUUUAGUAACCUUGCUUUAAUUUAGGCCCAAAACUAAAGCCGCCUUAAAACUGUUCUUCCAUUUACCCACUUAUAAAAACAUAGUUGGUGGGCCCAAAGAAGUCAAGAGCACUUAUACUUAGCAGUUGAUGUUUCAGUAUUUUAACUUUGCAAAUUAAUCAGACAUCUCUAACAAACACAUUCAUAAAUGUUUAUCCCAUAUGUUAAAUCUAAUUUACCCUUUUUAAACUCAGGUUAUCCAUGAAAACCAAGGCAUUAGAAAAGUGUAGUUAACGCUUUAAAUCAGUUAUUCCUCCCAAAGAAAAAUCCUUAAAAACAAUGGACAUUGCAUUUUAAACAUUUUAUAGAAACAAAUGUUUUCUUUAUUGGCUGACCACCUAGAAAAACGCAUAGGUUAGUAAUUUCAAAGGCAAGUUAAAAUAGGGUUGGGGAUAUGGCUUAGUUGGUAAAGUACUUGCUUCGCAUGCACAAGACUCUGGGUUAAAACCCCAGCACCACACCAAAAAAAAAAGUUAAAAUAGAACCUGUCACAGAUUUUUACAGUACGACCUAGACAUGGGAAGGGUAUGUGCAGUUGGGAACAUUGGGAAUAGAAUCUAUCAGCUAUGUGGGCCCUGAAAUCAAAGGUUCAGGUGGCCAGUCGUUCUCCAUGGGGCAGGUUUAUUCCCACCAUCACCACUGUUUAUUUUUUCUGCUUAGGAUUCCUCAAAGGAAAAGAAUACUUAUGGGAUCUUUCCAUUGUUCAUCCCUGUCCCUGGGCCUAGAAUUUUUAUUCUCCGUAUUUUGUAGGUUCUUUUAAUUUAAGUUUCCUCCUGUGUACUCAAUUCACCACCUCCACCCCCUGACUUAUUGGAGGUUUCUUGAGCACCCUGAUCCCUUGUAUGCUUAAUUCCCCUUAUUGGGGAACUCUGGCACACACCCCAUCCCACUUUCCUGGGUGUGGUCUCAUCUUUCUGAAUAGUCUCACACCACCACCCCUUGGGGGGGGUGGGUCUUGCACUCAUGUCUCAGUCACACCCAGGAUGUCCUGACCACAAAGGGAGUACUUCUUUCUUGAGAAUAGAUUUUUCUACCGUGGUCCAUGUAUGGUGUUACCUGGUUGCCGUGGUACUUAUUGGGCUCUUCCUUCACGUUGUUGAUCUACCUUUGAUUUUGGAUCUGUUGUUAGCCUCAGGGAUCACAAUUUUCUUCCCCACUUCAAGGUUGUCAUAAGGCAGUAGGAUGUGUCUCCUCUAUGGAGGUAGUCCCCAGGACCCUUUAGACAACAUAUGGAACCCCACGUUGAACACCAAAAUUGUUAGAAAUACCGGGGGUGCUGCAAGAAAUCAAACACAUGCCUAAAAGUAGCUUGGCAAGGCAAUCUUUACUUCUGCCGGAAGGGUGUGCUAUCAAAUCUGGCUAGCGAGCACACUGGGUAAGCGGUCCACCUGCUUUUAUCCCUAAUGCAGUGCUGCCCCUUUCCCUGAUAGGAGGAGCUCAGGGUUACAAUCUAUACAAUUGGCUGAUUUUAAU